rnacentral:piRNA from 1 species
CAGUACUGUACAAGAAUGUGAAAGGAGGCU